rnacentral:lncRNA from 1 species
ACGUGACCCUGAUUAUUAUUGAAACGAGAACGAGGGCGUCGUGCCUUUAUAAGACUGCGUUAAUGUUUCCGUAGAGUUAUCCCUUCCGUUGUUGUUUAUUGAUUGUUAAACAUGGCUUCAUUUGCAAAGGUGGUUGUGUGUGUCCUCAUUGCUUUGUCUGUAAUGGUAAGUUUUCCCCUUGUUUCUGUUAGUUGCUUUUUAUCUUGAAAUUCUGUCUGAAAUAGUCACUCGUUUUGUCUUCCUUUGAACAGCAUUCUGUUUUCCGAAGAGAGAUGUGAACUUUAAGGCUUCUGCAGUUGACCGCCAAAGUGAUGAUGUGGUUGUCACCACAACACCCGUUCCCCACAACCAGACCACAUCUGCCCAUACUGAAGCUGGUGGUGGUGCAAGUGAAGAUGCUGUGGCUACUACCCCAGCACCUAAUCCACACAACCAGACAACUUCUGCACAAACUGAAGUUACUGAUGGAGCCAGUGAAGAUGCUGUGGACCGCCAAAGUGAUGUGGUUGUCGCCACAACACCCGAGACCCACAACCAGACCACAUCUACCCAUACUGAAGCUGGUGGUGGUGCAAGUGAAGAUGCUGUGGCUACUACCCCAGCACCUAAUCCACACAACCAGACAACUUCUGCACAAACUGAAGUUACUGAUGAAGCCAGUGAAGAUGCUGUGGACCGCCAAAGUGAUGAUGUGGUUUCCACCACAACACCCAAUCCCCACAACCAGACCACAUCUGCCCCUACUGAAGCUGAUGGAGCAAGUGAUGAUGCAAGUGAAGAUGAUGAUGAUGCAGCAAGUGAAGAUGCUGUGGCUACCACCCCAACACCAAAUCCCCCAACUACAUCUGACCACACUGCAGCUACCGAUGAUUCAAGUGAGGGUACUGUGGCUGCCCAAACUGGAACUACUGUAUCCCAUACGACUGAAGUCUGAUUCGACUGCUCCUCUGGUCACAAUGACCUGUCUGGACUUUUUGCCUCUACAUGUUGACUGCAAUAAAGGACAGAUUUGUUUUUUGAAUCAAAUGUUGUCUUGCCUUUUUCAAAUUGAGGCCUUGUCCUGUUUUGGUGGUGGAGAUGACUAUGAAGCCUCUUUCCUAACGUAUUUCCUGUAGUGGUUUUACUAUAUGCUUCAUGCAACAAGGCCUUCAACGACUCUACAAUUUAAAAGCAUCUAGUUUUGUCUGAAUUUGUAAAAUGGUUGAACUGGUAGUGAUGCACUAUAAUGGUGAACUGCUUGUGGCAUUUCAAUAAUCUCUACUGUACUGUUUGACAUGUACAUCUCAAGUGAAUUUGCGUGGUAAUUGGUAAACUGAUGUCCGUCCCUACUAAGGGAGUACUGGCCUUAGUAGGCUAACCCCCUGAAAGGCAUUCAAACAAUAACAGCCUAGUUGAGGCUGAGGGAACCUUGCCAUUGUGUUAACUGGUGUCUUGGCAAUACCGUUUACAAUGUUGUGCUGUGAAAGCUUUUCAUGCGUUUCAUUGGGGUCUUUAGUCCCAGAGCAGCAGGGACCAAGUGCAUAUCCAGGAUGGG